rnacentral:rRNA from 1 species
GGUUAAGCGACUAAGCGUACACGGUGGAUGCCCUGGCAGUCAGAGGCGAUGAAGGACGUGCUAAUCUGCGAUAAGCGUCGGUAAGGUGAUAUGAACCGUUAUAACCGGCGAUUUCCGAAUGGGGAAACCCAGUGUGAUUCGUCACACUAUCAUUAACUGAAUCCAUAGGUUAAUGAGGCGAACCGGGGGAACUGAAACAUCUAAGUACCCCGAGGAAAAGAAAUCAACCGAGAUUCCCCCAGUAGCGGCGAGCGAACGGGGAGGAGCCCAGAGCCUGAAUCAGUGUGUGUGUUAGUGGAAGCGUCUGGAAAGGCGCGCGAUACAGGGUGACAGCCCCGUACACAAAAAUGCACAUACUGUGAGCUCGAUGAGUAGGGCGGGACACGUGGUAUCCUGUCUGAAUAUGGGGGGACCAUCCUCCAAGGCUAAAUACUCCUGACUGACCGAUAGUGAACCAGUACCGUGAGGGAAAGGCGAAAAGAACCCCGGCGAGGGGAGUGAAAAAGAACCUGAAACCGUGUACGUACAAGCAGUGGGAGCCUCUUUUAUGGGGUGACUGCGUACCUUUUGUAUAAUGGGUCAGCGACUUAUAUUCUGUAGCAAGGUUAACCGAAUAGGGGAGCCGAAGGGAAACCGAGUCUUAACCGGGCGUUAAGUUGCAGGGUAUAGACCCGAAACCCGGUGAUCUAGCCAUGGGCAGGUUGAAGGUUGGGUAACACUAACUGGAGGACCGAACCGACUAAUGUUGAAAAAUUAGCGGAUGACUUGUGGCUGGGGGUGAAAGGCCAAUCAAACCGGGAGAUAGCUGGUUCUCCCCGAAAGCUAUUUAGGUAGCGCCUCGUGAAUUCAUCUCCGGGGGUAGAGCACUGUUUCGGCAAGGGGGUCAUCCCGACUUACCAACCCGAUGCAAACUGCGAAUACCGGAGAAUGUUAUCACGGGAGACAUACGGCGGGUGCUAACGUCCGUCGUGAAGAGGGAAACAACCCAGACCGCCAGCUAAGGUCCCAAAGUCAUGGUUAAGUGGGAAACGAUGUGGGAAGGCCCAGACAGCCAGGAUGUUGGCUUAGAAGCAGCCAUCAUUUAAAGAAAGCGUAAUAGCUCACUGGUCGAGUCGGCCUGCGCGGAAGAUGUAACGGGGCUAAACCAUGCACCGAAGCUGCGGCAGCGACACUGUGUGUUGUUGGGUAGGGGAGCGUUCUGUAAGCCUGUGAAGGUGUACUGUGAGGUAUGCUGGAGGUAUCAGAAGUGCGAAUGCUGACAUAAGUAACGAUAAAGC